AUCGUUGUUCUCAACAAGGCCUAUGUAGAACCAAACGUCAAAUUUGAAACCACAAUGCUGGACCUUUUUCUCGAUAGCUUUUGGUUAGGAGAGGACACCAGGCCACUGCUUGACCAUCUUCUUCUUGUGGCCGUUGAUCAAACCGCAUAUGAUCGGUGCAUCUUCAAACGCCUAAACUGUUACAAGAUGGAAACGGAGGGGGUCGAUUUCGCCGGAGAAAAGCUUUUCAUGUCUCAAGAUUUCAUCAAGAUGAUGUGGAGAAGGACCCACCUACUCUUAGACGUUCUCAAGCAUGGCUACAGCUUCAUUUUCACGGNAUGCUGAUGUGAUGUGGCUGAGGAACCCAUUUCCAAGGCUAAGCGAGAAUGAAAGUCUAGAUCUCCAAAUUAGUACUGAUUGGUUCAAUGGUGACGCACUAUCCGAAAAGAAUUCAAUUAACACAGGAUUCUACUAUGUGAGAUCAAACAACAAGACCAUAUCACUAUUUGAGGCCUGGUAUUCCAGGAAAGACAAUUCCACAGGGAAAAAAGAGCAAGAUGUUCUGUUGGACCUAAUGCUGGAG
rnacentral:misc_RNA from 1 species